GAAGUGUGGACGCCAGUCUGCAUGGAGCCGACCUUGAAAUACCACCCUUUAAUGUUUGAUGUUCUAACGUGGACCCGUAAUCCGGGUUGCGGACAGUGUCUGGUGGGUAGUUUGACUGGGGCGGUCUCCUCCUAAAGAGUAACGGAGGAGCACGAAGGUUGGCUAAUCCUGGUCGGACAUCAGGAGGUUAGUGCAAUGGCAUAAGCCAGCUUGACUGCGAGCGUGACGGCGCGAGCAGGUGCGAAAGCAGGUCAUAGUGAUCCGGUGGUUCUGAAUGGAAGGGCCAUCGCUCAACGGAUAAAAGGUACUCCGGGGAUAACAGGCUGAUACCGCCCAAGAGUUCAUAUCGACGGCGGUGUUUGGCACCUCGAUGUCGGCUCAUCACAUCCUGGGGCUGAAGUAGGUCCCAAGGGUAUGGCUGUUCGCCAUUUAAAGUGGUACGCGAGCUGGGUUUAGAACGUCGUGAGACAGUUCGGUCCCUAUCUGCCGUGGGCGCUGGAGAACUGAGGGGGGCUGCUCCUAGUACGAGAGGACCGGAGUGGACGCAUCACUGGUGUUCGGGU
rnacentral:rRNA from 1 species